UCUGCUAGUUUGUCUCAUUUUCACUUUAUGUGCGAGAGAGUGAACAAUUGAAUAGUUGCGCUUGGAAAAAAUAAUAGAAACAAAACGUGUUUGUUGAUAUUGUUGCUUUUAAAAGGUUAUUGAAACAUAAAAAAUAAUAAAAUGGACCGAGCUAAACACUGCACGGAAUAGGAGAAGAAUUAAUAACGAGUAAUUUUUAAGCAAAAUAAAACCGACUUCAUAUCUCUUAUAAAAAUUUAGGAGUACCGUUAUCGGAUCCAAACCAGAUUUGUAUGGGGCGACCUCUGAGACACCACCUUUCCGAUGCAAAAGAAUUUUCGAAAUCGGUUGACGUGGUCCAAAGUUAUGCGUCGGUUAAUAAGUUGAAGAACACAAGGAAAUUCGGAUAGCAGAUAUGGUGGACUGUUCCAAAAAGAAGGUGUUCACUGUCAUUCAUAGCGUAAAAUAACCAGAAACAUGACGCAGAAAACGAAAAAUUACUGCUGGCGAUCAAAGGCGUUUAGUUCGGCAUUGCAAAGCUAACCCUUUUCUGUCCUCAAGAUAGCUGAAAACAGAAUUUAAUUUAGAUGUAACAAGCCGAACCAUUAGGUACAGAUUGGAAGAAGGCAAACUUCCAGCCAGAAUCCUUAGAAAGAUACCGUUGCUGAGCCUUAAAAACAAAAUCAGCAGACUUGCUUUUGCUAGAAAACAAAUUUUCCGACAAAAUUGGAAAAAUGUGCUAUAGCCUUAAUAAAAAAAUUAAUAUGUUCGGAUGGAAAACAUUACGUAAAACGUCCUUUGAUCCACAAUACACGAAAAAAACGGUUAAGCACAGCGGGGGUUCCAUUAUGGUAUGGGGCUGCUUCCCGGAGGAAGGCGUUGGUCCAAUAUUUUUAAUAAAGAGCAAAAUAUACGCGGUUGACUAUGUAAACAUAUUACAGACGAAAAGGUUUCCCUAUGCUAAAGAGGAAAACCAUUGCGGUGGAAGUUACUGCAGGAUAAUGAUCCUAAGCAUGCAUCGAAACUGGUAAAGUAGUGGUCGUCUCAAUCGCCAGACCUCAACCCCAUUGAACACCUUUGGGCAGACUUAUCGAGCCUUUUAAAGCCAGCAAAAAAGACGAAUUGAGGCGCCACAUUCUAAAACAGUGGUAUUCCAUUCCGAAAGUGUUUGUGCAAACUUGGCUAAUUCGAUGCACCGAAUAUGCGAAAAGGUAAUCAGACAAGGCGGCGGUUCAAUAAACUAUUGAAACAAUAAUAUUUUUGUAAAAAUUGUUGGGUCAAAGUUUAAUUUAUUUAGAAGUAAUACCUUGUUUCUAUUAUUUCUCCCAGGCCAAAAUUAAAAAAUGGGCCACAAUUUAUUUAUGGCUUAUUGAA